rnacentral:rRNA from 1 species
ACUCUCGGCAACGGAUAUCUCGGCUCACGCAUCGAUGAAGAACGUAGCAAAAUGCGAUACUUGGUGUGAAUUGCAGAAUCCCGUGAACCAUCGAGUUUUUGAACGCAAGUUGCGCCCAAAGCCUUUUGGUUGAGGGCACGUCUGCCUGGGCGUCACACAUCGUGUCGC